UUUCCUUUCAGUCCAUCCUUACCCACACGCUAUGCUUCCCAGUGCUCUCAAAAACUCACGACUCAAAGUUCUCCAAUCUCUCAUCUUCUUGAGUUCUUCCGACAAAUCCUUCCCUUUCCUCUUCUCUAAACGACUCCUCUCCCUUAACUUCUCCACAAACUUAGUAGAAUCGUGUCUCCAGAUUGCACCUCUAGCAGAUUGAAAUCAAUAAAAGAAAGUUAGAAUGAUUCCAGUCCGGAUCGCGUCUCCAAUAGAUCAAAAGAAGUGA
rnacentral:misc_RNA from 1 species